CCCUUAGAUGUCCUGGGCCGCACGCGCGCUACACUGACAUGUUCAACAAGCCUCCUAGUUCGACAGGAUUUGGGAAAUCUUUGAACGCAUGUCGUGAUAGGGAUAGAUCAUUGCAAUUAUUGAUCUUGAACGAGGAAUUCCUAGUAAACGCGAGUCAUCAGCUCGCAUUGAUUACGUCCCUGCCCUUUGUACACACCGCCCGUCUCACCUACCGAUUGAAUGUUUCGGUGAAGAUUCCGGAUAGGACUUUUUUGAUUUAUUUCAAUUUUGUCUUAAAAGCUAUCUAAACCUCAACAUUUAGAGGAAGGUGAAGUCGUAACA
rnacentral:rRNA from 1 species